rnacentral:rRNA from 1 species
GAACGGGUGAGUAACACGUGGGUGAUCUGCCCUGCACUUUGGGAUAAGCCUGGGAAACUGGGUCUAAUACCGAAUAUGACCAUGCGCCUCCUGGUGUGUGGUGGAAAGCUUUUGCGGUGUGGGNNNNNNNNNNGGCCUAUCAGCUUGUUGGUGGGGUAAUGGCCUACCAAGGCGACGACGGGUAGCCGGCCUGAGAGGGUGACCGGCCACACUGGGACUGAGAUACGGCCCAGACUCCUACGGGAGGCAGCAGUGGGGAAUAUUGCACAAUGGGCGCAAGCCUGAUGCAGCGACGCCGCGUGAGGGAUGACGGCCUUCGGGUUGUAAACCUCUUUCAGCACAGACGAAGCGCAAGUGACGGUAUGUGCAGAAGAAGGACCGGCCAACUACGUGCCAGCAGCCGCGGUAAUACGUAGGGUCCGAGCGUCGUCCGGAAUUACUGGGCGUAAAGAGCUCGUAGGUGGUUUGUCGCGUUGUUCGUGAAAACUCACAGCUUAACUGUGGGCGUGCGGGCGAUACGGGCAGACUUGAGUACUGCAGGGGAGACUGGAAUUCCUGGUGUAGCGGUGGAAUGCGCAGAUAUCAGGAGGAACACCGGUGGCGAAGGCGGGUCUCUGGGCAGUAACUGACGCUGAGGAGCGAAAGCGUGGGGAGCGAACAGGAUUAGAUACCCUGGUAGUCCACGCCGUANACGGUGGGUACUAGGUGUGGGUUUCCUUCCUUGGGAUCCGUGCCGUAGCUAACGCAUUAAGUACCCCGCCUGGGGAGUA